rnacentral:rRNA from 1 species
AUAUUGGACAAUGGGCGCAAGCCUGAUCCAGCCAUGCCGCGUGAGUGAAGAAGGCCCUCGGGUUGUAAAGCUCUUUUGUCCGGAAAGAAAAGCAUCGGGUUAAUACCCCGGUGUUCUGACGGUACCGGAAGAAUAAGCACCGGCUAACUUCGUGCCAGCAGCCGCGGUAAUACGACGGGUGCAAGCGUUACUCGGAAUUACUGGGCGUAAAGCGUGCGUAGGUGGUUCGUUAAGUCUGAUGUGAAAGCCCUGGGCUCAACCUGGGAAUGGCAUUGGAAACUGGCUGACUGGAGUGCGGUAGAGGGUAGCGGAAUUCCCGGUGUAGCAGUGAAAUGCGUAGAGAUCGGGAGGAACAUCCGUGGCGAAGGCGGCUACCUGGACCAGCACUGACACUGAGGCACGAAAGCGUGGGGAGCAAACA